rnacentral:lncRNA from 1 species
GCUCAUCUGUCGUGUCCUGAGACUGAGAUACGCGGCUCUUAUCAGGGUCGUCGACACGACGGGAGGUCCUGCUAGCCUUGUCUUGCCUUAGCCGUAUAUCUUGCGUAUAGGAAUCCCGGUGAAGCUUUGGUUUUCCCCAGAGUUGAGGUUUUUCCUCUAAGGAAUCCGACGAGAUCACGAGAUUCGUGAUAGAGGAUGCCUUUGCGGCCUGUGUUCGUUUGUGAAGGACUAGUUGGAGCACCCCUGGAGGGUUUAAUCUUUCGAAAAGCCGUGCCCGCGGUUAUGUGGCAACUUGGAAUAUUUUGUUAACAUCCGGU